rnacentral:misc_RNA from 1 species
CGGCCGGCGGUGAGAACGUGACCGGUGGCCCAUCACGAGAUUCUGUUGCGGUGGCGGAGUGCUUUUUGGAAUAGUGUUGGAUGCGAUCGUCAUCGGCGGAGGAUGAAGUAGUGGCGGUAGUGGCGGACCAGAGAGAGCUGUUGAGCCAUUCAGGUACCUUAUUCUUCGCCAUUUGAAGAGAGAUGUGUAUAGAGAUUGGUGUGUAAGUAUAGGUUAAUAUAUAGAGAUAUGAAAGAAUAGAAGAUUUGAAGUGGUUAAUGUUAA